GAUGAACGCUAGCUACAGGCUUAACACAUGCAAGUCGAGGGGUAACGAGAGGAAAGCUUGCUUUCCUUGUCGACGACCGGCGCACGGGUGAGUAACGCGUAUCCAACCUGCCCCCAACUAGGGAAUAACCUUGCGAAAGUAAGACUAAUACCCUAUAAUUUCCUCAGAUGACAUCUGACGAGGAAUAAAGAUUUAUCGGUUGUGGAUGGGGAUGCGUCUGAUUAGCUUGUUGGCGGGGUAACGGCCCACCAAGGCAACGAUCAGUAGGGGUUCUGAGAGGAAGGUCCCCAACAUUGGAACUGAGACACGGUCCAAACUCCUACGGGAGGCAGCAGUGAGGAAUAUUGGUCAAUGGGCGGAAGCCUGAACCAGCCAAGUAGCGUGCAGGAUGACGGCCCUAUGGGUUGUAAACUGCUUUUAUCAGGAAUAAAGUUAGCCACGUGUGGUUAUUUGUAGGUACUGUAUGAAUAAGGACCGGCUAAUUCCGUGCCAGCAGCCGCCGUAACAC
rnacentral:rRNA from 1 species